UACGAAGGGGGCUAGCGUUGUUCGGAAUUACUGGGCGUAAAGAGUGUGUAGGCGGUGUUCCCAGUCUGUUGUGAAAUCUCCCGGCUUAACUGGGAGGGUGCAGCGGAAACUAGAAUGCUAGAGGGUGGGAGAGGUAAGCGGAAUUCCUGGUGUAGCGGUGAAAUGCGUAGAUAUCAGGAGGAACACCUGUGGUGUAGACAGCUUACUGGACCACUUCUGACGCUGAGACACGAAAGCGUGGGUAGCAAACAGG
rnacentral:rRNA from 1 species